rfam:Salmo salar isolate Sally breed double haploid chromosome ssa25, whole genome shotgun sequence.
UCGGGCCCUAACUGUAAGUCGCUCUGGAUAAGAGCAUCUGCUAAAUGACUAAAA